rnacentral:lncRNA from 1 species
UGGGCCGCACGGAGCCAGGAGGAAUUUAUUAUGAAGAGUAAUGGGGUGGAGUCGUGGCUGUCACCAUGGCUCGCCAUGUGGAGUCUGUUGCGGAGAGCGGAGCGACGUCCGUUGUCGCGACUCGCCAGGGAGUGGUGGAGCCGUGCAGUAUCCGUCGCAAGAAGUGGAGCAGAAUCGUGGUCAUUACUGCGGCCUGUCACGUGG